rnacentral:RNase_P_RNA from 2 species
UGGGUCGACUGGACGGUCGCGUGGCGGGAGACCGCACCGAGGAACGUCCGGGCUCCACAGGGCAGGGCGGUGGGUAACACCCACCCGGAGUGAUCCGCGAGAAAGUGCCACAGAGAGUAGACCGCCCCGCAAGGGGUAAGGGUGAAAGGGUGGUGUAAGAGACCACCGGGGGACAUGGUGACAUGGCCCGCCAGGUAAACCUCGCCCGGAGCAAGGUCAGACAGAGGAUGUUGACGCGGCCCGCCGAGUCCUCGGGUAGACCGCUGGAGCGGCACGGCAACGUGUCGCCGAGAGAGAUGGCCGUCGAAGGGGCGAAGAACCCCGGAACAGAACCCGGCGUACAGGUCGGCCCAUUCG